rnacentral:tRNA from 1 species
GGAGCCGUGCCUGAACAAAGGGUCACUUUGAUAGAGUGAAUUACGAGGGUUAAAACCCCUCCGACUCCU